CAUGAAUAUACGUACCGUAUGAAGUUAAACAGAAAUACGUCUUUAAUGGGUAUAUUGGUGAACUAAGGCAGUCAAAUGCGACCGCGAGGAGUAAUACGGUUUUGGUAAAUACCUAGCGUGUGGAACAGACAAUUAGAGAGUUUAGGAACUGCCAAAAGUACGAGAUGUAAACUUCAUAUUGUAUAAUGUAACAGAGCAGAUGGAUAAUUUUUAGUCCAAUCAGGGUGCAAUUACUCUAUUUGUCAGACAUUACUUCUACUGUAUUGUGAUGCUAACGGAGACCAGAUUGCAAACAUAACAUGAGUGACAUACAUUU
rnacentral:lncRNA from 1 species